UACGGGGGGAGCAAACGUUGCUCGGAAUGAUUGGGCGUAAAGCGCGUGUAGGUGGUCUGUUAUGCCGGCUGUGAAAGCCCGCGGCUCAACCGCGGAAGUGCAGUCGGAACUGACAGGCUAGAGUGCUGAAGAGGAUGGCGGAAUGCCCAGUGUAGAGGUGAAAUGCGUAGAUAUCUGGAGGAACACCGGUGGCGAAGGCGGCAUCCUGGACCAUUAUUGACGCUGAGGAGCGAAAGCCAGGGGAGCAAACGGG
rnacentral:rRNA from 1 species